CCUCUAGAGGCCUCCUGAGAUGAUCUCCUUGUUCUCUCAUGACAGUUUUGUUCCUCUUUUUUCCUUCUCCUUGCAGGGUCUUCAGCUCCUUCCUCUUUUGUUGGGAAUGAGGGGCGCUUGGCAGCUUGGGUCUUCAUUCUCAGCUGUGGGUUACCACUCUGUGGUCAUCAAUGCCUGGUCACCGAUGGGCAAUUGAAAGUGGCUGCAAUGUUACCCCUUGGUCCCGGAGGAUGCCACCAUCAUCGCUGACCUCACCGGAGACAGGCAGUUUACCUACACUAAGCACAGUGGUUGAGGAUGCUGGAAAACAUGGAGGUGGAGAUGGAACCUGUGGCCACAUUUGGCAGGGAAAUACACAGCUAGAUGCUAGUGACAUUGCCUUAAGUAAUCUCUACAUCCUUCAAGACCCCUGCACCAGAAAUCCAUGAGUCUUACAGCUUAAGAGGGGCUAGAUCUCCCAUGGAGUCUGGGACAAGUAGCUUCCUCCAGUUGUCUUCUCCUACAGCUGCCUCCCCAAACUCUCAGGUGAGAGAUCCAGAUACUGGUAGGGUUUGCCACAUGGCUAAGUGAUGGGCUCAUGAGGAAAAUCUCCAAAUUGUGUACAUUAAUUUAAAAAAGACUUAGAUGGGAACCCUGGGUGGCGCAGUGGUUUAGCGCCUGCCUUUGGCCCAGGGCACGAUCCUGGAGACCCAGAAUCAAGUCCCACGUCGGGCUCCCGGUGCAUGGAGCCUGCUUCUCCCUCUGCCUAUGUCUCUGCCUCUCUCUCUCUCUGUGUGUGACUAUCAUAAAUAAAUAAAAAUUUUAAAAAAUUUUUAAAAAAAUA
rnacentral:lncRNA from 12 species